GCCCGCGCGGGCAAAGCGACUGCAAUGGAAAAUUGCCUUAAGGCCGGUUUCCAUAGCAGUCGCUUUGCCCGCGCGGGC